ensembl:lncRNA
GAAUUUUUCUCUGCAGAGAUUCCUGGCCACUUCAAUGGCUGAUUAUACAUUCUACUAUAUCCAGACGUGGCUGACGCCGCUGCUGGGUCUGACUGUGAGUCUGUGCAUACUGAGGUACUGCUGCAAAAUCUGCAGUAAAGUCUCAGACACUGACUCAGUUCUGGACCUGUCAAACAGCGACCAUGUCUAUGUGAUUCCCAACCCCAUUCAUGUGAGAGAAGAGAGAGACGAACCAGAUGAGAUAAGCUCUCAUGAUGACUCUGAGUUCACACCGCCACCAUAUGAACUAGAGUGUCCACCACCGUCAUAUGCAGAGGUACGUCUAUCUAGCUGUCUGUCUAUCUAGCUAUCUAAAAAGUCGUCGCUUGUCUAUUGGCUGAUUUUUGGCAGGUUUUGGGUACCUUUCAGCAGGUCAGAGUUGCACAUUAGCUCAAACCAGCUAUGACCUGUUUAGGACAGCUUCAGCUAGUUUUAUCUAUUCUACAGAAUAUAUCACUUAAUGUAUGUUGAAAUGCUGUUUCAACAGACUUAUAAUAUUUGUAAUUGUUUUGUUUUUUUUACAGUCUAGCGUUAAAUUAAAUAUUUCUGAUGUUCAAGUGACUCCAGACACUUCCGACGUGCCACCGCCACCGUACUGCCCACCUUUAAAUAUGAUGUCACAAUCAUCCAAUCAACAAUAGACACUUCUGAAUAUAUAUUUUUGUUUGUGUGAUAACUAAUACAUGUUUUUAUUCUCAUAACUGGAAUUGUGAGUGAAAGUUCGCACCAAAUAGGCAGUUUGUAAGAACAAAAAAGUGUACUGCUUUUGUGAACCACGUGAAGAGGAGUGGCUGAAAUGUAACCAUAUUUCCAUGUAUUAUGUAAAUCCUGGGUAACACUUUACUUGAAGGGGUGUGCAUAAGACUGACAUGACACCUUCAUAAUCAUGACAUGACACGUCAUGAAUAUGAAGGAGGUUUUAUGCAUGUUUAUGACAACUGUCAUUAAGUGUCAUUCGCUCAGUUAUGUAAUUUUUAAUGCAAAUAUGACAUUAUUUGACCUAACCCUAACCUAACCCUACCCCUAACCAUAGCCCAUAACAAAGACAUCUCAAACAAUGUCAUCUUUGCAUUAAAAAUGACAUAACUGAGCGAAUGACACUUAAUGACAGUUGUUAUAAACAUGCAUAAAAACCUUCAUAUUCAUGACAUGUGUCAUGUCAUGAUUAUGAAGGUGUCAUGUCAGUCUUAUGCACACCCCUUCAAGUAAAGUGUAACCAAAUCCUGAAUAACUGAAUUACUUAGAGUUAGUAAAAUGCUUACGUGGACUAUCAAAAUAAAGUGCAACCAGAUAAAUUCUAAAAUUAUUGCUAUAUAUUAAAUAUACGCUUUUACUGACAUGUUUCAAUGGUGUCAGAUAGAGCUAAUAAAAAAGUAAAUGUAGCACCAUGUUAAAGCAGGUAUUAUGUAGAAUUUAAGACAUUCUUUUAGCUUCAUUUUGGAUAGAUUAUUUAUUCCAGGACUGAACUUCCAGUGCUUUCACCUAAUUAGUUAUUGCUUUGUUUGUGUUAAUCAUAACUUGAACGUCUGAACUUUUCUUUGACACACACAGACACACGCAAUGUUGGAUGCAACUUCUGUAGAUGAAUUUGUAGCGUUAAAUCGCUAUAUGAAAAUAUCGAAGUGAGAUGAGAUGUGAAUGCAUGUAUUGUGAAUAUUUUGAAAGGUGUUUUGAAAUAUCUUCUGGAAGACAGGGUCAGCUCUAUGCACCCUGCUUUUCAACAUAAAUGUGCUGCUGAUUUUCAAAAAAAUAUUGAAUCUUCUGUGUAAAUUGGGGAUGACUGUGUAUGCUGAAUAACAUUCUGUUACAGUAAUUAAAUAUGAUGAUCUUCAAUCUUUGUGAAGAACUGACCAAUAUGUCCUUCUGUCUUAUACUGCUGCAUAGCAGCCCCACACAAAAGCUCACAGAAACAAAGGAAAUCAUGGAAUAAAAUAAUAGGAAUAGGUUUUUUGUCUUUCGCAAAGCAUCUGGUUUUUUAAUAAGACUUUUAUUAUAUAUAUACUGUAAUUACUGGUAACUAUUAAAAAACCUUUGUAAAAGCUAUAUGUGCA